GGGAGCACCAGGUGUGGGGGAUCGCGGUGCCCCUGGCCCUGAGCGAGGCGGGUCUGAGGCAGUGCUUCGGCCCGUGAGGGAGGGAAGAUGUCAGCACUGACGGCAGCGGGUGCUUUCCGUGAGGGGAACAGCUGGGAGCUCCUGGCGUAACAUAUUUGUGCACGUGGCUCUUGAUAACCAUCCAAGGCAUUUCCUGAAUGUCUCUGCCACCCAGCCAGUCUCUCCUGAGCACCACCAGCCCACUGCCAUGUCACUCCAGGUGUGGCAGAGCCUGCAGGCCUGCGCAGUCAGGUGGCAGCUUAAGGACCGUUCCAGGAACCUGCUGGCACAGGGUGCCAUCAUAAACCUGAGUUGAAAUGAGUGCUGUCUCGUGCCCUUUGCUCCCCAUCCUGCCAGAACAGAACCUGUUGUGUGGAACCUGUUCAGGCUGGAGAUAGUGGGAAGGCUAAAGUUCAAGUUCACAGACCCAAAAUGUGUAUGAAGAGAGAAGCAAACCAGAGUACCUGUGUGCUACACCAGGUCUCCCAAUUAUCCAUAUGGCUGCAGGGAACCAUAGCAGCAGUGUUACACACAAGAACUCCAGUCUGCACAGAUCUUGUGUGAUUGAUGCAGUUACCAUCACCUGAUACAGUUUUCUUUUUGUUCAGCUUGGUUUUGCCAUUCUGCUUAAUCUGAAAAGAAGAUGGUAAAUUAUGGCAAAUGUUUUAGAAAAGUCUACCAGCCCAAGCACGAAAUCUUCCUGGGAUCAU